rnacentral:rRNA from 1 species
UACGAAGGGGCAAGCGUUGUUCGGAAUUACUGGGCGUAAAGGGCGCGUAGGCGGUGCUCUAAGUCAGGCGUGAAAGCCCUGGGCUCAACCCGGGAAUUGCGCUUGAUACUGGGGCGCUUGGAAUCCAGGAGAGGUUGGUGGAAUUCCCGAGUGUAGAGGUGGAAAUUCGUAGAGAUUGGGAAGAACACCGGUGGCGAAGGCGGC